AUACGUAGGUGACAAGCGUUAUCCGGAUUUACUGGGCGUAAAGGGCGUGUAGGCGGUCUUGCAAGUCAGAAGUGAAAUUCCUGAGCUCAACUCGGGCGCUGCUUCUGAAACUGCAGGACUUGAGUGCUGGAGGGGAUAGCGGAAUUCCUAGUGGAGCGGUAAAAUGCGCAGAUAUUAGGAAGAACACCGGUGGCGAAGGCGGCUAUCUGGACAGUAACUGACGCUGAGGCGCGAAAGCGUGGGGAGCAAACAGGAUUAGAUACCCUGGUAGUCCACACUGUAAACGAUGAAUGCUAGGUGUAGGGGGUAUCGACCCCUUCCGUGCCGCAGUCAACACAAUAAGCAUUCCGCCUGGGGAGUACGGCCGCAAGGUUGAAACUCAAAUGAAUUGACGGGG
rnacentral:rRNA from 1 species